rnacentral:rRNA from 1 species
UACGAAGGUGGCAAGCGUUACUCGGAAUUACUAGGCGUAAAGGGCAUGUAGGCGGUUUGAUAAGUCUUUUGUGAAAGCUCCCGGCUUAACCGGGAGAGGUCAAGAGAUACUGUCGGACUUGAGUAUGGGAGAGGGUACUGGAAUUCCUGGUGUAGCGGUGAAAUGCGCAGAUAUCAGGAGGAACACCGAUGGCGAAAGCAGGUACCUGGACCAUUACUGACGCUCAGGUGCGAAAGCUAGGGGAGCAAACAGG